rnacentral:lncRNA from 1 species
CUUCUUGUUGGGCUGCCUUCUGGACCAUAAGUACCUCAAAGGCAUCUGCAUUUGUUCCCCCUGUAACCCAAGCACCUAGCAGUUUCUUUGCCCAAAAACUGGUUGUUGAUUAAUAGGAAAAUUAACCAAUUAAUAAGUCACUGGAGGUGCUGAGAAGCCCAUGGGCCCCUCCUCCUCAUUUCUCUUGGAUUCAGGUCUCUGGAGGCUACUUCUCAGAGCCUCCAAGAUAAGAGCAGCUGAGCCCCAGCCAGGUUGAGCUCAACUACCCGGAUGAAAAGGAGGUACCCUGAGUGCCCGAGGUGAGCCACUCCUGUACCAGGACUCGGAGCUGGGGGGAAAGGAAGGGUACCCAGGCACCAAAUGGAUGACGUACAAAGUCUGUCAGGAGCCUGGGUUAGAGUGGUGAGGACCGUUUGCUCCCUGUGUUUAUUCACAGCUGGAACUGACACUACAGUGCCCACCAGCGGCAGCUCAGCUGCCCUGGCAUCUGGAGCCAGGUGUGAGCCAGGUGUUCACAUCUCUCCCAGGCCCAAACAAACCCCUUAGUUCCCAGGAAGCUAGACAAGGCCUUUUCUCUGGCCACAGCUAUGCUCCAAGAUGGCAGCCUGGAGGUCAAAGCUAAUGACUAGCUGAUACACCUUUAUAGUUGUCUUGCAAACGAUGAUCUAUCACUGGCUCAAAGGCAAACAAUUUUUAGCCAUGGUUAUUUACAAAGCACCCCCACCAAUUUCUGUUUGUCUCUAAGGUACCUGUGCAUGUCCACCUGUUUUCUCCUCAACAAAACAAAACAAAAAACUUCCCAAGAACCCAAGAGCAUCCUGGAGGGAUUCUGGAAGAUUGGGCCAAUCCGAGAUUCUUUGCAGAUGCUGGACAUUUAACUCUAUCAAACUGGUAGGAGUCAUUCCACUCCUACGUAUUUGCUCAAAGGAAAUGAAAGCAUAAGCCCACACAAAGACUAAGGCAUGAAUGUUCACAGCAGCUUUAUUUGUAACAGCCAAAAACUGGAACCAACCCAAAAGUACAUCAGCAAAUGAAAGGAUAAACAACUUGUGUUAUAUCCAUUCAGUGGAAUACUACACAACAAUAAAAAGAAAUGAGCUAUUGAUACAUGCAACAACAUUAACGAAUCAUAAAAUAUUGCUUCUGAAUGAAAGGUACCAGACAAAAAAAAAAUACAUGCUGUAUGAUUCCACUCAUACAAAAUCCUAGACAAUUUUAUCCAGUCUGUAGAAAGCAGAUCUGUAGUGACUGGGAAUUGGAAUGAGGGAGAAGUGACAGGCAUUAUAAAAGGACUUAAGGAAGCUUUUCAGGGUGAUAGGGAUGUUCACUGUCUUGAUUGAUGUGGUGGCUUCAUGGGUCAAAACUUAUCAAAUUGUACACUUUUAAUAUGUACAGUUUAUUCUAUGUCAAUUAUAUCUAAGUAAAGUUACUCCUACAAAUCAGGUAGGAGUAACAAUCGCAAAGUUAUGUCCAGGGCACAGCCUCAGUUAUGCCAAUGGGUUCCACUCUGUAUCCCAGCACCCAGCACAGUGCCAGGCGCACAGGGGCACAACAAAUGUUGCUGAACCUAGUAAAUAAGUUGAUAUUGUCCUAUUUGACUCAUUUGGCCCAGGAGAAACCUUUCCUCCUGGCUUGAUCACAUCCACUGUGAUGUCUGAAGAGCACUCGCAGCUUUAGGAUGAUUAAUCAGAUCCAUAGUAACUACCUCAGCAGAACUGUGAGCAGAGUGCUCCUCAACCCACUGCCUCUUCCUCCCUUCUUCUCCUGCUGGCAGCCCUUUCAGAUGCUCACUCCUCAGAGAACCCCAAUAUUGGUCCCAAGAGAAGAGGUAACCUAGAUCAGUGCCAGAACUCUCUCUCCCCUGGCACAUACGUGUCCCUGCUGAGAGGGGCCUCCCUGGGGCAAGGAAGACAGGCACAGUCCCUGGGCACAGCCUUCUGCCUCUGGGCGGUGGCAGUGUGCCAGGUGUUCUGGCUCCCUCACCCACUGGGGUCUAGUCUUUUAUCCACCCCUCACAGGACAGGACCAACCAGGUAACCCUGAGGGGGAAGCAACAGCAAACAGGAGUCACAGGAGGGGAAAAAAAAAAAAAAA